rnacentral:rRNA from 1 species
CUUGACCGAGCGACGCCGCGUGCGGGAUGAAGGCCUUCGGGUUGUAAACCGCUGUCGUAGAGGAGGAAAUUAGCUGGGGUUCUCCCCAGUUAUUGACCUAUUCUAGGAGGAAGGACGGGCUAAGUUCGUGCCAGCAGCCGCGGUAAUACGAACCGUCCAAACGUUAUUCGGAAUUACUGGGCUUAAAGGGUACGUAGGCGGCGCUGUCAGUCGGGUGUGAAAUCCCACGGCUCAACCGUGGAACUGCGCCCGAUACUGCAGUGCUUGAGGGAGACAGAGGUAAGCGGAACUGAUGGUGGAGCGGUGAAAUGCGUUGAUAUCAUCAGGAACACCAGUGGCGAAAGCGGCUUACUGGGUCUCUUCUGACGCUGAGGUACGAAAGCUAGGGGAGCGAAGGGGAUUAGAUACCCCCGUAGUCCUAGCUGUAAACGUUGAGCACUUGAUCGUGGUCCCCCCAUAGGAUCUCGGUCGUAGCGAAAGUGUUAAGUGCUCCGCCUGGGGAGUAUGGUCGCAAGGCUG